GAAAUGAUUCCCCUGACUGAAGAUAUCAUGAAGUUGCAGAAACAUCUUAAAGCACUGGAAAAAGAUGCAGUGCUUGGACUCUCGGUUGCACCCAGUGUUUCAGACUGGAAGAAACUUUGUCAGAGCCUUCUCACACAGAUAAUCCUCUUCAAUAGAAGGAGGGAAGGAGAAGCCUCAAAAUUACUCCUGGCAACAUACCAAACACGGAACAGAGCUCCAGCUCACCCAGAAGUGUACGAGAGCCUUUCCAAACUUGAAAAGUCACUUGUCAACAACUUCACGCGACUGGAGAUACGAGGGAAGAGAGAGCGAAAAGUCCCAUUGCUCCUCACACAUGACAUGGAGGCAUCGAUAGACAUUCUGAUAAGCAACCGAACUGCAGUAGGUAUCUGCAGUGAAAACCCUUUUGUGUUUGCCCGAAUUUCAGGAACCAGCCAUAUGAGAGGGUCAGACUGCCUCCGCCAAUUUUCAUUGGAAUGCCAGGCCAAACAUCCAGAGUGUUUAAGAUCCACCAGAUUAAGGAAGCACAUAGCCACUCUUUGCCAAAUGAUGAACUUGAAAAAUUCAGAAAUGGAUCAGGUGGCAAAGUUCAUGGGUCACGAUAUACGUGUCCACCGUGAAUAUUACAGACUCUCUGAAAACACCAUUCAGCUUGCUAAAAUUAGCAAACUGUUGAUUGCCAUAGAGAAAGGAAAUCACACUUAUCUGGGACGGUCUCUAGAGGAGCUGGAGCUGGAUGGAGACACUCUGGAUGGUGAAAAAUCAGAUGGUGAAUGUCCGCCAGGCGAAAAGAAGCAAAAGACAUCCUCGAGAGCUCCAUCCCCUCAGGAUCAUUUGGAGACGGGUGUCGAGGGUUCUUGUGGAGAACAACAAUCAGGUAUGUCAGUGUAUCAGAGUAGUGUUUUCCAGUGUGCGCAAUGCAUUUCUGUUAAAUGUUGUAUUCUGUCUGACUCAGAUCUAGUAACUGAUAUGUUGUGUUUGGUUAUUUGUGUUAUUCCAGAUGGUGAAUGUCUGCCAGGCAAAAAGAAGGAAAAGAGGUCCUCAAAGGCUUCAUCCCCGAAAGAUAAGUUAGCAACAUGUGAAGAGGAUUCUUGUGGAGAAGAAAAAUCAAGUAUGGGAAAGUAGUACAGAGACACAUUUUCAGUUUUCCAACAGUUCAGAUCAGUG
ensembl:lncRNA